UGUCAACCAUUUUUUAUACCAAGUUACCUGAGAAACGGCUAUUGGAGCUUGUCCUUGAUGUACUGCAAAAGUAAGACAUCCUCAAUGAUAAUAAUUUUUUUCAUAUUUCAAUUUGGGAAGAAAUAAAAUAGUUGGAAGAUGGCCUCAAUAAGUCAUAAAUAAGAGGGUUACGUUGUUACAUUGAAUUUCUCAUGGAGUGAUUGAUUUUCUUAAUUUAUGAAUGUCUUCUAAUUCAGGAGAGAUACAAAAAGAAUAUUUGCUAUGCCAGUUAAUCCUGAAGAGGUCAAGGGAUACUAUGACAUUAUUAAAGACCCCAUGGAUUUUAGCACCAUGAGGACAAAACUUCAAGGAGGAAUGUAUGCUUCACUUGAACAAUUUGAGCAUGAUGUGUUUUUGAUAUCAAAAAAUGCGAUGCAAUUCAAUGCCUCUACUACUGUCUUUUACAAACAGGUAGG